rnacentral:rRNA from 1 species
CCCCUAGACGUUCUGGGCCGCACGCGCGCUACAAUAAUACGCACAGCGAGUAUCACCGAGCUCGAAAGGGCAAGGUAAACAAUAGAAAAGGUACUGUAAUGGUUAUAGAUCCUUGUAAUUAUUGAUCUUCAACGAGGAAUUCCUAGUAAGUAUGUGUCAUCAUCACGCACUGAUUACGUCCCUGCCCUUUGUACACACCGCCCGUCGCUCCUACCGAUUGAAUGGUUUAGUGAGAUCUUCGGAUUGGCGCCACUGCGGCUCAGCAAUGGGCUCGGUGGAUGCCGAAAAGUUGAUCAAACUUGAUCAUUUAGAGGAAGUAAAAGUCGUAACA